CCAGAUUGGAAACCUGCCAAGAUGUCCCUGGCCUCUCAUACAGUUUUGGAAAAGUGUCAGUUACAAUUCCGAUCUGUUAAGUAACCAGGGGGCCACUCUCUUGAGUUACAUUCUGACUUCUGCGUUUUCCUAGUGGGGCCGGCAGAGCAUGAAACCGGGUUUGUGUGGACAUGGGCAUGCCUGGGUGCAGUGGACGACUGCGUUUCCCUUCCAGAGCUGUGAUGAAGCAUCUCCACGGAGCUUUGAAAAAGUUUCCUCAGGCAUAUUCAGGGAGCUCGGUAGAUGCCGUUGUUUCGCAAGUUUUCUGUUUUCUUUGUCUGUACAGGUUGUUCCUGCCUUCACGGCUGGGAGGAAAUUGAGGAUGUGGAGCGCUUGCCGUUUGGCCGUGGGGCUGGCUCCUGUCCUCAGUCGGGCCAGUGACCCGACCCAGUCCUCUGGCAACAGGAGAGGGGCCCACCGGGCGCAGCGUGGCCGCUCCGGUCUCUGUAGACGUUUUUACUCGUGGUAUCUAGCCUCAAAAAAGACCCUGAAAGUGCCGGCUCCCUUGUGGAGGCAACUUAGCCCUUAGUCCUCGUGGGCAGGGGUCUGGGGUCGGGGUUUAAUGCGUGACCGCGCCUGUGUCGCUCAUUUGCCACCGUUUCCCCCACAGCCUGGCCUGUGUCACCGCUCCACCACCUCUCCCACCCAGCCCUCUCACCUCCGAGCCUGGGAGGAGCUGGGGGGUUGUUUGCUUCCUAGGUUAGGAAGUGUUUUCUUUUGUUCUUAAUUGGCUCUGGAAGGAUUCCUCAUAUCCCAGAAAGGAAUUCUGGGGGACCGGUUCAAACAUCUGAUCUUAUCGUCCCCAGAACCUGUUCACUUCACACAUGCUGGUGUAACGCCAAGAAAGUGGAAGUCCUGGCCUUGAACUCAGGGAGCCGGGGCCCUCUGUGUGUUGUGGAGGGUGCACGCCCUGUGGUCGUCCCACCCUGGAAGUGGCACACAGCCCCACAUCCGCCUUCACUCAAAGGGGCGGAGUUUGGGCCCAGAUAAUUCACGGGAACUCUCCGGGCAUGAAGCAGGUGGAAGUCUUUGGAGACCAGGCCUGGGAACACCCAGGCGUCCUGGCAGACUUGAGUCUUCCAGGCAAGUGAGGCCUGGGAAGGCCGUCAGAGGCCACGGCAUGUCCUCGCUCUGCAGAGGAGAGGUCUGGGUGUCCCAGGGUGCCUGCUUAUUAACGCAGGGAAGCACGUGGCGUGCUGCCUGCGUUCCAGUGAUUAAGGGAUGUUAUUAAAUGCUCCUGAAUUAUUUUAAUAAUAGCAGUGUAAACGCAGACAUUAACUGGAGCUACUGAAGCUCAGUGCUGGCUUCGUGCUGUUGCACGGGCAGGUCAGCGGGAGAUAAAAGGCCGCGACUGUUGAGGCGAGUCCCCUCCUAUCGCUGGCUGGCAGACUGUGGAGGGGAGAUAAAAGGGGGGAGCAGGGAGGUUCUUUCUGAGCAGCAUGAGGGGGCCUUUAUCACAGGCAUGCAAGUCGAGCCAGGGGUGUGCGGGAGACCCUUAGCUGCACGCUCGCACGCAUGCUAGCUCUCCGGGAGGACCCCGGCAGGGUUUCCCAAACACAUGCGAUCAGGUCUGUGUCGCGGGAACACCGGCAGAGGCCGGGCUUUUUCAGCCACAGCAGUCCUACAGAGUGUGGGUAACAAUCACGUCAGUUUAAGUUAAGAGGGCAUCAGCCGGCGUUUCCCAGCGGAGGAGUGGGUCCCACAGGAGGGACCAGGCCUGAGCAGACCGCGGACCCUCAGGGGGCACCCGAGGCCGCGGCGUGCCCUUGACUUCUUGCUGUUCUCUGGGGCAGCCAGGUUCUCAGCCAGGGCAUAGAGCCGACGGGAGGGGCCCUGGUGUCGAUCCCCCGUUUGAGGUGUCCCUUCCUGCCCCGUGUCACUUUGGGGAGAGCUAAGGGCUUGCAGGGGGGUACUGGCUUUCUCAGGAUGGGGCUUGUGAAGUGUGGCCCCCACCUUGAAGAGCCGGGGCCUGGGCAGCGUGAGCUCAGGCAGAUGCAGAGAAGGACGUGCUUUCGGCCCGUGGUGACUGGCUCAGACCAACAAGGCCAGGGGUUUGGCCCUCGGUGUUGCUUCAGUCAGACACCCCAGGAAGUGCAGUUGUUGUGAACUAAUCACCCUCCUGGCUGUGGGGAGAAGCACCAAGACGGUCUGCGAGCCUCAGGCUUCCUCCAGCACUGGCUGGCCCACCACGGCCUGACUCCCCAGCCGCCUCUGCCCAGCAGCUCCUUGAACCUGGGGGCUGGAGGAUGGAGACCGCACCCCAGAGUCCCCUCUCCUGCCAGGAGCCGCUUUGGGGUUGCCUCAGUUUGCGUGAAGAAACACCAUUUGCUUGCUAGUGUCUUUGGUUGGCUGGCCUGUGAUAAACACAUAUGAGCUUCAUAUAUCUCAAGAGUGUUUGUUUUUCUUCCUAGACAGAGUAGUGAAUAAUUCUCUUAGAGGCAAAGUAGAAGGGAGAAUGGCCGCCCGUGAGGAUGCCCGGCAGGCAGCCCUCCGAACCGCUGGGUGCCAGCUCCGUGGCUGGAGUCAUUCUCAGCUGACGGCUUGUAACGUCCUUCAGCCACUGUGGGAUGAGGACCCCAGCUGACUGGCGGGCCGCCGGCGGGCAGGAGAGGGAGCUGUGACCUCCACUGCCCCUGAGCAUUUCCAGCCGCACUUGCAUCUUCCACAAAGUCACUGGGGUCUUCUAAGGGGCGUCGUGCUGAGCACCGCCCCCCCCCCCGCCCCCGAAUUCUGGGAAUGUGCAGUCAGACUCGGGGUUAACCACCUGCCCUGGCGCUCAGCUCGCCUCCAGCUCCUUCCCCCUCAAGGGAGAAGCGGAGAAUCCUGUUUCUGAAGCUUGACCCUUUACCGAGCCUGUGGGAGAGGAGCGCCCAGCUCAGGGCCUGUGAAAGAGUUGCAGGAUAUUGCCUAAAACUCCCUGCAAACUGCUUCUGAACUUUACCCCAGCUUCCUCCCCGGGGCUGUAAAUGCGACUGAAGGCACCGAGCCCC
ensembl:lncRNA